rnacentral:rRNA from 1 species
GACGAACGCUGGCGGCGUGCCUAAUACAUGCAAGUCGAACGCAGUGGGGACGGGUGAGUAACACGUGGGUAACCUCCCAUCAGAGGGGAUAACACUUGGAAACAGGUGCUAAACCGAUACUGAUGGAUGGACCCGGGGGGCAUUAGCUAGUUGGUGAGGUAACGGCUCACCAAGGCCACGAUGCAUAGCCGACCGGAGAGGGUAAUCGGCCAAACUGGGACUGAGACAAGGCCCAGACUCCUACGGGAGGCAGCAGGGGGGAAUCUUCGGCAAUGGGCGAAAGUCUGACCGAGCCAUGCCGCGUGGGUGAAGAAGGUUUUCGGGUCGUAAAGCACUUUUGUUAGAGAAGCGGUAUCUAACCAGAAAGCCACGGCUAACUACGUGCCAGCAGCCGCGGUAAUUC